CCAAUGGCCCCUCCCUGCAUCAGCGCAGAGCAGGUACACUCUCAAGGCCGGAGCCCAGUCCAUGGGCCUUCGGUCCAAAGUAGAGGCCCUCCCGCAAGGCGGAAAGCUUGCUCGAGAGCUACUAGGGUUUUGAGUUAGGACUCGAAUUAGGGUUUCGGGUUGGAGAUGGCGCUGACCAACUUCAUCGUGACGGUGGUGGGCGUAGGCGCCGCCAUCAUCCUCUUCCGGGGCGACGUCAAGCAGUCCGCCACCGUCUUCCGCCGCAACCUACGCCACAUCCGCCACUGGCUCGAAGAAGAAUCCGGCUCCGCUUCCAAGUUGCUGCAAUGUGUGAUAGCGGCAGCGUCAUUUUACAUUAUCAAUGUAUUUUACUUCAUCCUAGAGCUGCUCGCAACACCUAGCGAAAAAUCCUUGCAUCUGUGAUGACACGAUUAGCUGCAACCUUGUUGGAGGGUUAGUUUCAGUAAAUAUCUUCUGAAGAUUCUGAGACACACAAGAUCUGUGGAGCGAAAGGCACCGAAAGAGUUGGACUCUCAGGUUCUAAAGAAGGACAUUCCCAAGGACGAGAAGCUCUAGAAUAUUUUUGUCGAUUUUCCUGUUAUUUAGGACGGGCACAAGUGUAUAUGUGUACAUGUUUGUGUGUGUUAGAAAUUUCAAAUAAAUUCAGAUUGUCAUACCAACAUUGAAUUGUUUUUUCUUCUGUUGUAAUUCUCAAAAACCAGCUUGGCUCCAUCCAACAUAUCCAUCACUUUGUUCUUAAAAGGCUAUGAACAUGAUCACAUCACAUUGGAGCCAAAAAUGUAAAGAUGAUUUACUUAUUUUCCUUCCUUUUCCUCAUCAAUUAUAGUAAGAUGUUUCCAUGAUGUA